UUGAGAGUGUCGACCCUCUUGAGUGACGUAGCUAACGCGUUAAGUCAUCCGCCUGGGGAGUACGGUCGCAAGACUAAAACUCAAAGGAAUUGACGGGGACCCGCACAAGCGGUGGAGCAUGUGGUUUAAUUCGACAAUAAGCGAGGAACCUUACCAGGGUUUGACAUGUACCUGCAAAUCCGCAGAAACGCGGACUCCUUCGAGGGUGGUACACAGAUGCUGCACGGUUGUCGUCAGCUCGUGUCGUGAGAUGUUGCCUUAAGUGGUAUAACGAGCGCAACCCCCAUUGAUCGUUUUAUUGUAUCUAUCAAAACUGCCAGCGUUUAAGCUGGAGGAAGGUGGGGACGACGUCAAAUCAGCGUGGCUCUUACAUCCUGGGCUACACACAUGCUACAAUGGAUUGUCUACAGAGGGACGCAAUAUCGCAAGAUGGAGCAAAUCCCUAAAACUGUCCCAAGUUCGGAUUGAGGGCUGAAAUUCGCCCUCAUGAAGUUGGAAUCGCUAGUAAUCGUGGAUCAGCCUCGCCACGGUGAAUACGUUCUCGGGUUUUGUACACACCGCCCGUCACAUCAUGGAAGUCGUUAGUACUCAAAGGUCCCGCUUCUCGCGGGGACUAGGGUAAGAAUGGUGACUGGGAUGAAGUCGUAACAAGGCAUCGGUAGCGGAAGCUGUCGAUGGAUCACCUCCUUU
rnacentral:rRNA from 1 species